CAUCCUUUACACAAUAUAACGAAACUUACUUUUGACGGCAUGCAUUGCAUGCCGUAAAAAACUGUUUAGGCGUGUGGCCGAACGUCGUAUAAAGCAAUAUCGUAAAAAGUAGUUCGCUUACGACGUUCAAAGUACGCCACGUAGGAACGCCGUGCAUCGACACGCCAUAAAAAUGUAUAGUUUUUACGGCAUGCGCAGCACGCUGUAAAUGAGAGGAUAUAGACUUAUCAAGUUUGCCCAAUCAACAAACCCUUUCU
rnacentral:lncRNA from 1 species